AUUGAACGCUGGCGGCAGGCUUAACACAUGCAAGUCGAGCGAGCGGCGGACGGGUGAGUAAUGUCUGGGAAACUGCCUGAUGGAGGGGGCUAACUACUGUAAACGGUAGCUAAUACCGCAUACCCUCAGAUGUGCCCCGAUGGGAUUAGCUAGGAGUGGGGGUAAGGGCUCACCUAGGCGACGAUCCCUAGCUGGUCUGCGAGGAUGACCAGCCACACUGGAACUGAGACACGGUCCAGACUACUACGGGAGGCAGCAGUGGGGAAUAGUGCACAAGAGGCGCAAGCCUGAUGCAGCCAUGCCGCGUGUGUGAAGAAGGCCUUCGGGUUGUAAAGCACUUGCAGCGAGGAGGCGUUACUCGCAGAAGAAGCACCGGCUAACUCCGUGCCAGCAGCCGCGGUAAUUC
rnacentral:rRNA from 1 species